UACGGAGGGUGCAAGCGUUAUCCGGAUUUAUUGGGUUUAAAGGGUCCGUAGGCGGAUCUGUAAGUCAGUGGUGAAAUCUCACAGCUUAACUGUGAAACUGCCAUUGAUACUGCAGGUCUUGAGUGUUAUUGAAGUAGCUGGAAUAAGUAGUGUAGCGGUGAAAUGCAUAGAUAUUACUUAGAACACCAAUUGCGAAGGCAGGUUACUAAGCAACAACUGACGCUGGUGGACGAAAGCGUGGGGAGCGAACAGG
rnacentral:rRNA from 1 species